GACGAACGCUGGCGGCGUGCCUAAUACAUGCAAGUAGAACGCACAGUUUAUACCGUAGCUUGCUACACCAUAGACUGUGAGUUGCGAACGGGUGAGUAACGCGUAGGUAACCUGCCUGGUAGCGGGGGAUAACUAUUGGAAACGAUAGCUAAUACCGCAUAAUAUUGAUUAUUGCAUGAUAAUUGAUUGAAAGAUGCUAUUGCAUCACUACCAGAUGGACCUGCGUUGUAUUAGCUAGUAGGUGAGGUAACGGCUCACCUAGGCGACGAUACAUAGCCGACCUGAGAGGGUGAUCGGCCACACUGGGACUGAGACACGGCCCAGACUCCUACGGGAGGCAGCCGGAGGGAAUCUUCGGCAAUGGACGAAAGUCUGACCGAGCAACGCCGCGUGAGUGAAGAAGGUUUUCGGAUCGUAAAGCUCUGUUGUAAGAGAAGAACGGGUGUGAGAGUGGAAAGUUCACACUGUGACGGUAUCUUACCAGAAAGGGACGGCUAACUACGUG
rnacentral:rRNA from 1 species